rnacentral:rRNA from 1 species
CCUACGGGUGGCAGCAGUAGGGAAUCUUUCACAAUGCGCGAAAGCCUGAUGGAGCAACGCCGCGUGCAGGAUGAAGGCCUUCGGGUUGUAAACUGCUUUUAUAAGCGAGAAAUAUGAUGGUAACUUAUGAAUAAGGAUCGGCUAACUACGGGCCAGCAGCCGCGGUCAUACGUAGGAUCCGAGCAUUAUCCGGAGUGACUGGGUGUAAAGAGUUGCGUAGGUGGCAUAAUAAGUAGCUAGUGAAAUCUGGUGGCUCAACCAUUCAGACUAUUAGCUAAACUGUUAAGCUCGAGAACGUUAGGGGUAACUGGAAUUUCUGGUGUAGGAGUGAAAUCCGUAGAUAUUAGAAGGAACACCAAUAGCGUAGGCAGGUUACUGGGACGGUUCUGACACUAAGGCACGAAAGCGUAGGGAGCAAACGGGAUUAGAUACCCCAGUAGUC